rnacentral:lncRNA from 1 species
AUGUUCUUUCUUCUUCUAGAGGUGUCCUUGGUUCUCAUGAUGUUUAUCUUGCUCCACAGCUGCUGCUCUGAACAGUUUUUCUUGUAUUCCCACACUAGGCAGCCUGUCCCAGUGCCCCACCACCCCUAUUGUAAAAAACUUCUUCCUUAUAUCCAGCCUAAUCUUCUGUGCUUUAGUGAUGGCUUAAAGUCUUUAAAUGAUUCUACAUUCAGGAUGAAUAGGGAUGCUGUAUGGCUGCUACGGACCAGGAUGUCACAGAUCAUGCCGGAGCACUCCAGCCCCAGUGUAACUGCACGACAUGCGGAGCUGACAAUGCCGCCCGCGGCGACGCGUCAUCCCCAGCACGAUCACCUUCUGAUACUCUGGGUAUUUAACAGACGCGGUUCUCGCUGUUCCCUAUUCAGGAAGCCACUUGCGACUCCACAGCCAAAGCCGAGCAGCAAACGUUUGUGCUCUCACAGGCGGCGAUCACAGCGCGUCAGGAAACCCGCUGCUCGCUUGCACGGCUACCACCUGCAUCUCUCAUGGUGUCCAGACGGAGCAGCCGCUAUUCUAUUUCCCAAUUUCUCCCUCAAGCGGCAGACGCACACAGGUGCCCUUCACCCCGCAGCCCGUCCCCAGAGGGCCCGCACGCCGCCACAGCCCAGCCCGCCCCGUCUCGACCCCAUUGCCAAGGCUCAGCCCGGCGUUCCGUUCUCAAAGCCGUCCCAAAGCGGACGACCCCGAGGCGGGGGGAGAGGUCUCCCCCCGGGUCGGGGAGGAAGUGACAUGGCGGCGGGGAGGGAAGGCGAGGGGGCCGGGGAGCCGCCCGGCGGGUGGAGCCAGGCAGCCCCGCCCGAGCCCGCCGCCUCCCGGCGCGUGCAAACUAGUGGCAGUUGGCGAGCCGCGGCUCGGCUCGGCGCGGUGCCGCCCGCUCCCGGCGCCUCAGCGCGCGCCCAUGCCCAGGCUCGGCGGCGCCAGGUACGUGCUCUUCCCCUGGCGGCCGGAGGGCUCCUCAGGUGCGGGGCUGCGCCUCUCGAGCCGGCCGGCGCCCGGUUUGGAAACAAACAACAAAGAGCCGUCUUCCCCAACCCAUCAGCGCCGGCGGCCGGGCGGGGUGUGGAGGUGUGUGCGCGGGGCGCGGCGCGGCGGGAAGCGGGCUGCGGGCUGCGGCCACGAGUUCCUCGGUUUAUCCCCCACCCGCCGCCGCCGGCCGCGCCGUGUCUGCCGCCGAGAAUCUUCCGGCGCCUCGCGCCGCCCCGGGGUUUCCGUGGAAACGGGAGGAGAGCGGCGGCCUCACGCCGGCCGUGUGGGGGGGUGGGGGCGUCCCCUCUCCUCCAUCCGACCCGUCGUCCCCUGUCAGUGCGGGGGGUUUGUUGGGGAAACGGGCGGGGGUACUGGCGGUGGUGGUGGGCGCACAGCCCGGCUCGGCCGCAGGCACAGGUAGCGGGGCUGGUUGGUGUGAGCUGA